UUCAGUACGUGUGCUAUUCCGACCUUCCGCCGCCAAUUUUAUUUUUGUAACUAAAGACUGAGAUUAGACGAUAAAACGAUCCCACUGAUGUUAAGUACUAGAAUUUAGUUCUAAUUUAACACAUAAAAUAAUAACCAAGAGAU